rnacentral:rRNA from 1 species
AUGGCUGCUGUUAAGCUUGCUGCCUUGGUUCUGGUAGCAUUGCUGGGUUGUGUGGCGCACACAUGCCAAGCGAGCUACGGGUAUCCCAACCCAUUGCCGCCCACCCCAAGCCCACCACCUCCCGCGGCACCCGCACCAGCAGCACUCACCGUGGGCUACUACCACAAGACGUGCCAUAACGCGGAGAAGAUCGUGAGGGAGGUCGUGGAGGAUGCUCAAAAGGCCGACCCUGGCAUCGGCGCCGCGCUCAUCCGCCUCUUCUUCCACGACUGUUUCGUCAGGGUACGUCUUACGUGUGGAUAUUUACGCAUGCAUGGGUAUGUUUGUGAAUUGUGGGGUACUAACGUGCUCGAGCCUUUUUGCCCAGGGUUGCGAUGCCUCGGUUCUCCUUACAACACCACGGCCAACCCGCAGCCGGAGAAGUUGGGCAUCCCCAACUUCCCCAGCCUCCGCGGCUACGAGGUGAUCGACGCGGCCAAGGAGAAGCUUGAGAAGGAGUGCGAGGGGGUCGUCUCGUGCGCCGACAUUGUGGCCUUCGCCGGGCGCGACGCCACCGUCUUGCUAAUAAGCGGGAAAAAGAAGUUCAGCUUCCUCGACUUCCUAUGGGGUGGCUGGAAGUCCGGCUUCGACAUGCCGGCCGGCCGCUACGACGGGAACGUGUCCCUCGCCGGCGAGACCCUCCCCAACCUGCCCCCUCCCUUCGCCAACGUCAGGGUCCUGGAGGACAUGUUCAGGGUCAAGGGGCUCAGCCUCGAGGACAUGGUCACCCUCUCCGGCGCGCACACGGUCGGAAUCUCCCACUGCUCGUCCUUCCGUGACCGCCUCCCCCCGAACCCCUCGUCGAUGGACCCUACCUUGGCCGCAUCCCUGCAGGGGCAGUGCAGCCGCGGCGGCGACCCCACCGUGGUUCAGGACCUCGAGACUCCCGAUGACCUCGACAACCAAUACUACGACAACGUGCAGAAACGCAACGUGCUGUUCAAGUCAGACGCCGCGCUCAUGUCAUCUGAGACGACAUCGAGAUUGGUGGACGGCCACGCCAAGGACCGGCAGGAGUGGUUGAAGCAAUUCAAGGCGGCUAUGGUGAAAAUGGGCAGCAUCGAGGUGAAGACCGAGGCCAACGGGCAGAUCAGAAAGCACUGCCGGUUUGUGAAUUAA